rnacentral:rRNA from 1 species
UAACGCGUGAGUAACCUGCCUUACACAAGGGGAUAGCCUUUGGAAACGAAGAAUAAUACCCUAUAAAACCAUAAAAGCACAUGCAAUUAUGGUCAAAGUGAUAGCGGUGUAAGAUGGACUUGCGUCUGAUUAGCUAGUUGGUGAGAUAAAAGCUCACCAAGGCAACGAUCAGUAGCUGGCUUGAGAGAGUGUACGGCCACAUUGGGACUGAGACACGGCCCAG